UACAGAGGGUGCGAGCGUUAAUCGGAAUUACUGGGCGUAAAGCGCACGUAGGUGGCGACGUAAGUCGGGUGUGAAAGCCCCGGGCUCAACCUGGGAAUUGCAUUCGAGACUGCAUUGCUGGAGUACGGAAGAGGGAUGCAGAAUUCCAGGUGUAGCGGUGAAAUGCGUAGAUAUCUGGAGGAAUACCGGUGGCGAAGGCGGCAUCCUGGACCGAGAUUGACACUGAUGAGCGAAAGCUAGGGGAGCAAACGGG
rnacentral:rRNA from 1 species